ACACAGGAGGAGGCAGGUAGCUGGGUCCAGGGGCAGGCAGAAGGUCAUACACAGGAGGAGGCAGGUAGCUGGGUCCAGGGGCAGGCAGAAGGUCAUACACAGGAGGAGGCAGGUAGCUGGGUCCAGGGGCAGGCAGAAGGUCAUACACAGGAGGAGGCAGGUAGCUGGGUCCAGGGGCAGGCAGAAGGUCAUACACAGGAGGAGGCAGGUAGCUGGGUCCAGGGACAGGCAGAAGGUCAUACACAGGAGGAGGCAGGUAGCUGGGUCCAGGGACAGGCAGAAGGUCAUACACAGGAGGAGGCAGGUAGCUGGGUCCAGGGACAGGCAGAAGGUCAUACACAGGAGGAGGCAGGUAGCUGGGUCCAGGGACAGGCAGAAGGUCAUACACAGGAGGAGGCAGGUAGCUGGGUCCAGGGACAGGCAGAAGGUCAUACACAGGAGGAGGCAGGUAGCUGGGUCCAGGGGCAGGCAGAAGGUCAUACACAGGAGGAGGCAGGUAGCUGGGUCCAGGGGCAGGCAGAAGGUCAUACACAGGAGGAGGCAGGUAGCUGGGUCCAGGGGCAGGCAGAAGGUCAUACACAGGAGGAGGCAGGUAGCUGGGUCCAGGGGCAGGCAGAAGGUCAUACACAGGAGGAGGCAGGUAGCUGGGUCCAGGGGCAGGCAGAAGGUCAU